AGCAAGAAGGAAGCAGCUGCUUUCUCUACAGCUUUUUCUCCUGCCUGAGAAGCUGCCUUUCCCCCUUCACUUCUGCCAAACCUGAGAAAUACAACAAAGUUCUGUGUCUCAGAAGAACACAGUUUCUCUUGAGACUGCCAGCAUCGCUUUCUAGAAUCUCUGGGUUUCCCACAUCUCUAGUUCCCAGUACUUUCAGCCACUUUGCUUCUUGUCCAAUCUGGAAGUAGAAAUUGCCAGAGGUUCAUGAAAAUGAAAAAUGGUGAGAGAAACAUAUUGUAAACCAAGCUUUCAAACUCCAAUAAGGGCUUAACUAUGAUUUCA